UACGAAGGGGGCUAGCGUUGCUCGGAAUGACUGGGCGUAAAGGGCGCGUAGGCGGAUGGCACAGUCAGAUGUGAAAUUCCCGGGCUUAACCUGGGGGCUGCAUUUGAUACGUGUUGUCUAGAGUGAGGAAGAGGGUUGUGGAAUUCCCAGUGUAGAGGUGAAAUUCGUAGAUAUUGGGAAGAACACCAGUGGCGAAGGCGGCGACCUGGACGGACACUGACGCUGAGACGCGAAAGCGUGGGGAGCAAACAGG
rnacentral:rRNA from 1 species